UUUUGUUCCCCGGCGCGAUUUUCCCGGCGCGGAGCGGCAAUGGCGGCGCUGAGCCUGAGGCCUUCGUCGCCGCCUCCCGGCGCCGCUCCUUUCGGCAACUUCCCGAAUUACGCCCGGUUCCACCCGCCCGAGGAGCGGCUGAGGCUGCUGCCCGCGGGGCUCCUGCCCGGCCUGCUGCCCCCCGACCGCCCGCGCCUGGCGCUCGACGUGGGCUGCAACUCGGGGGAGCUAAGUGUGGCUCUGUACAGGCAUCUCCUUGGCCUUCGGGAGAGCGAGGGCAGCGUGGAGCAGUCCGCAGCUGGGACGGAUCUGAACCUUCUGUGCUGUGACAUUGAUCCGGUGUUGAUUGAGAGGGCUCAGCAGCACAGCCCCUUCCCUGCCUCCAUCUCUUUUGCCAACUUGGACAUCAUGGAUUCCAGUGCCAGAGAGCCAUUCCUCAGCUCCUACCUGGGCCGUUUUGGCCGCUCCACUUUUGACAUCUGUUUUUGCAUGUCUGUAACCAUGUGGAUCCACCUGAAUCACGGCGAUAGAGGCCUGAGGGAGUUCCUGUCCUUCCUGUCCUCUCUGUGUGAGUAUCUGCUGAUCGAACCGCAACCGUGGAAGUGCUACCGGGCAGCCGCGCGCCGCCUGCGGAAGCUGGGCAGGAACGACUUUGAUCACUUCCGAUCCCUUGCUAUCAGGGGAGACAUGGCGGAAAAGAUAACCCAAAUCUUAACGAAUGACUGCGCCAUGGAGCUGGUGUGUUGCUUCGGGAGCACCAGCUGGGACAGAAGUCUCCUGCUUUUUAAAUCAAACGGCUCAAAUCCCGAGGGCAGGGAACCUUCGGAAGAGGAACAGUGACUGACAAAUGCCCUCUUAUGGUCGUGGAUUUAUAGGCAAGGAGGUGCUCGCUGUUUACAGAGGCAGAUCUAGGAAUUCCUAAAUCCCCGAUGGGACCAGAGCUUGACCUCCGUGGGGAGCUUGAGGUCAGUAAUGUCUGUGUGAAGUUGUUUUUCUUUGCACCUGUAAAUCAAGUGGCAGUUUUAAUGAGCCGUAGGAGUCCCGAGAUUGCUGUUCCUGACAUCGAAGUUACUACAUAUGUGCUUUCUACGUGUACCAGGAAUAUGCCGUGGCGGAAGAGAGAACGUGCCCUUUUUGUCCCUGGAAUGUGUCAAAGGGGACAUUUCUGUUGACCUGUGCGGUGCACUGUUUGUUCUUCUUCUUCUUGUCGUGUUUGCUGUAUGAAAUGCUCUUGGAAAAGGGAAUGGAGUUCAUCAUUUCGUCGUAUUUACGGGCUCAAGAGAGAUUUGAUGAGCUUGAAGCUGUGUUUGGCUGAGGAUAAAGUGUUACAGCUUUCACUGGGUUCCACUGCAUCCAUACUGUGAAGUGAGCGGAAAGCGCAGGAAUGUGCCCUGAACAUCGUUUCCUGAGAGCUCAGAGCCAGAGAAGGAGGGGAGAGGAUGUCGCCUCCAGGAGGUGCUCGUGUCAAGCAGUUCUGGGUCCCAGGUGCUGAGCUUUUUUUCCAACCCCUUGAAUCGAAGGGUGUGCCUCUGAAAUCUCGCAAACACACACAGGCCUCGGCAGGAACAGGGUGAAGAUCAUGGGUGUGAGGUCAUAAAUGGUCCCUGAGCUUGGAGUGUAUGAAACCAGCAAAAUGGACACCAGCUCACACGCGUCUAUCCGUGGCAUCAGGACCGUGUUCUGUCCAGGAUCUGAUGAACGUUCUGCACUGGAAGGAGGAACGUCCCCAUCUCUGCUGAGACCUGCUGGAGGUCAAAACUCUUCCCCCUCAUCCUGUCCCUGCACUGCCUGACCAAGAACCUCUCCCCGUCAUUCCUGGAGCCUCUUUUCAGUCCUGGAAGCUGCUUUAAGGUUUCUCUGGAACCUUUUCUUCUCCAGGCUGAACAACCUCAACUCUAAGCCUGUCCUCACAUGAGAGGGGCUCCAACCCUCAAGAUCAUCUCCGUAGUCCUCAGAACAGUGAAUCGAACCCAAAUUUCCAGCUUCCCAGUGUCCUGCUCUGGCCCUGGGGCUCUCUUCCAGUCCCCUGCGUGGUGAAGACUCAGAAGCAGCAGGAAAAAAACCCCCAAAACUUCAUGAGAGGGAAGGAAAACAGCCAGAACCUCUUCUUGCAGGACUGCUGUUGAGCUCUUGUCCUUUCCAACUUGGCUAUGACUCAACCCAACGUUGUUCCUCGCACUGGAAGAGCUUUUGGCAAAGGGCUCUGCUGGGUCCUGCCUCUAGGAGAAGCUCUGUGCUAAAAUGACAUCGGCUGAGCUAGGAACAGUUGUACAUGGGGGAGCUCACGCGGAGCUCCUCGCUUGCCCAUCCCUGCCGGUUUGAGGAACGAGGUUUAGCAACUAAGGGCUCUUUCAUAGAAUCACAGAAGGGUUUGGGCUGGAAGAGACCUCAAAGCCCAUCCAGCCCCACCUCCUGCCAUGGGCAGGGACACGUCCCGCUGGCUCAGGGGCUCCAAGCCCCAUCCAACCUGGCCUGGAACCCCUCCAGGGAUGGGACAGCCACCACUGCUCUGGGCAACCUGGGCCAGAACCUCCUCAACCUCCCAGGAAAACCUUUCUUCUUAAGAUCUCAUCUCAAUCUCCCUUCUUUCAGCUCAAAACCGUUCCCCAUCAUCCUCUCCCUGCACUCCCUGAUCCAGAGCCCCUCUCCAGCUUUCCUGGAGCUCCUUUCAGCACUGGAAGCUGCUCUAAGGUCUCCCUGGAGCCUUUU